AGCUCCUUAUGGAGCGAAGUCUUUGAUUCCCCGCUGCCAAGAAAAGCUUCUAGCGAGAUAAAAGGUGCCUGUACCGCAAACCGACACAGGUAGGCGAGGAGAGAAUCCUAAGGUGUGCGAGAGAACUCUGGUUAAGGAACUCGGCAAAAUGACCCCGUAACUUCGGGAGAAGGGGUGCUUUCUUAACGGAAAGCCGCAGUGAAUAGGCCCAAGCGACUGUUUAGCAAAAACACAGCUCUCUGCGAAGCCGUAAGGCGAAGUAUAGGGGGUGACACCUGCCCGGUGCUGGAAGGUUAAGGAGAGGGGUUAGCGUAAGCGAAGCUCUGAACUGAAGCCCCAGUAAACGGCGGCCGUAACUAUAACGGUCCUAAGGUAGCGAAAUUCCUUGUCGGGUAAGUUCCGACCCGCACGAAAGGUGUAACG
rnacentral:rRNA from 1 species